rnacentral:rRNA from 1 species
UACGUAGGGUGCAAGCGUUUGUCCGGAAUUAUUGGGCGUAAAGAGCUCGUAGGCGGUCUGUCACGUCUGCUGUGAAAACUCGGGGCUUAACCCCGGGCCUGCAGUGGGUACGGGCAGACUAGAGUGCGGUAGGGGAGACUGGAAUUCCUGGUGUAGCGGUGAAAUGCGCAGAUAUCAGGAGGAACACCGGUGGCGAAGGCGGGUCUCUGGGCCGUAACUGACGCUGAGGAGCGAAAGCGUGGGGAGCAAACAGG